AACAACAAACCGACACAAAAAUACUUGUUUAAACAAGUAUUUAUUAUGAUAAAUAUAAAAAUAUAAAAUAUAAAAGGAGUAAUAAAUAAUGACAAGGUUAAAAAAACGAAAAUUGUUCCAAAUUUCAUUCCGACAAGUGAUCUCUCUCACCCAAAAGUGUUUAAUUAUUAAGAAAGUUGCCAAGUUUUAGUAAAGUUACAUAUGUAAAUUAAAAACUGAUACAAAAUUCAAAAAUAAUAACCAUGUCAACCCCUCGACGACUGGUUUGUCUAUUUUGUCGAACUGGUUGUAAUUCCUCUUCUUCCGACUUAUUUCCUCAAUUUUUAACUUAUCUCGCCACGAUUAAUAUUCCCGUGGAAAAAAACUUGCUGGAUGAAAAUUUCUGCCGAGAAAAUUUCCAUUGUUGUCAGAAAUGUGGCUCCCUUUUGGAAACAAUUGCCCACCACGUGCACCAACUGGGACAAGAUUUGCUUACAAUUUAUCGCGUAACGUUGCAAAAUAUUAAUCAAAGUUCGGACGAUAAUGACGAUAUUUUCGAAAUUUGGAGGAGGCAAAGCGUUUCUCAAUUUAAUACUUCCAUCUCCUUGUGGAAAGAUUUAAUCGUACAAGAUAACCACGAAACAGGAUACAAUAUUUUACCCGAAAUUGCAGAAAAUUUAGAGCAGGAAACACCUUUCAAAUUUGAACAAGAUUGCGAUGACAAUGUCGACCUAGAGAUAAAGAUUGAACCCGACCAAGAAAUCCGAGAUACGGUGGGGAUUUCGCAAAAUCUGGAUUGUCCAGGUGACCCCCGCGAUGACGCUAUUCCCCCAGAGGAAGAGGAUAAAUCGUACUUAAAUGAUAUUCUCGAACUCGCCGAGGACGCCGAUGAUCCUCUAGUUCCGUCUCCAUGCAAACGGGAAAAGAAGGCCUCAUCCCAUAUACGCCAAAGCUCCUCCUCCAAAAGACUGGAAACCUUUAAAAUAAUAAAGUUGGAGGACAAUGCCGAUUCGAUCCCAGAAGAACAACCCGCUCUGACCUCGAUUUAUGCCCGAGACGAUGGGCGUCAGACUAAAAAGUGCGACUUGUGCGACCUCACUUUCCGCUUGGAGUCCUCCCUCGCCGACCGCAAGGCCGCGGUUCACCACAACGGGGCCCGCCACGUCUGCACCGUCUGCAAGCUGGGGUUUCUGGAAAUACAUAAUUACAAGUAUCACGCGCGAAAGUGCGACAAACCGCGCACGACCUCGAGUUCUGCGGAGAUCGAGAUUGCCGACGAGCUUGGGACCAUUUUGGGCGUCGCGGUAAACCAAAUCGUGGAUCAAGAUGGCAACGAAAUGUUCCAGUGUGGUCGUUGCAACGCGAAACGAUUCACAAGGGCCCAUUUGAUUACUCACGUGCGCGUAAAGCAUACAGACGAGUCCUUCAAAUGCAAAAAUCCCAGUUGUGGAUACGCCUUCGCCUCGCAGGCCGAGCUGGACGACCACAUCCUGGCGAAAGGCCACCAGACGAGGCACGCGUGCUCGUUGUGCGCAGUCAUGACAUCCACAGCGGGGCUUUUGAAAGCCCACGUGCUCUCGGUGCACCAAAAUGUUGUUCGCUUCACCUGCUUGCGCUGUGAGCACGGGUUUUAUUCCCGUCAUAACUGGACGACCCAUGAGGCCCGUUGUCAAGCCGAGGUUAGGAAGAAGAGGAAACCGAGAUAGAAAUCAAAUGUUCACGGUGGAUUAAAAUCCACAGAGAUGGAAGUUCAUGUAGAGGGAUUUACUCGGAAAAGACUUUGAUUUUGACAAAAUUUUGAAGUUCAAAAUAACUGAAUUGUUAAAAAAAAACUUUUUACCAAGAAAAAAUUUUUGUCAAGCGUGCAUAGAAAGAAAACUCUUCUUCGCUAGUAAAAAAGUUUCUACUCAAGACUUGCAGCAAGAUGCGCUUGGAAGGGGAGCGCUGUGUCACCGUCUUAACAAAUACAAUUCUAAGCACUUGUCCGUGUGCUCCAGGUU